GACGAACGCUGGCGGCGUGCUUAACACAUGCAAGUCGAACGGUGAUCUUGAGAGCUUGCUCUUGGGUGAUCAGUGGCGAACGGGUGAGUAACACGUGAGCAACCUGCCCCAGACUCUGGAAUAACCCCGGGAAACCGGAGCUAAUACCGGAUAUGACACCAAUCCGCAUGGGUAUGGUGUGGAAAGUUUUUCGGUCUGGGAUGGGCUCGCGGCCUAUCAGCUUGUUGGUGAGGUAGUGGCUCACCAAGGCGACGACGGGUAGCCGGCCUGAGAGGGCGACCGGCCACACUGGGACUGAGACACGGCCCAGACUCCUACGGGAGGCAGCAGUGGGGAAUAUUGCACAAUGGGCGCAAGCCUGAUGCAGCGACGCCGCGUGAGGGAUGACGGCCUUCGGGUUGUAAACCUCUUUCAGCAGGGAAGAAGCGCAAGUGACGGUACCUGCAGAAGAAGCACCGGCUAACUACGUGCCAGCAGCCGCGGUAAUACGUAGGGUGCGAGCGUUGUCCGGAAUUAUUGGGCGUAAAGAGCUUGUAGGCGGUUUGUCGCGUCUGCUGUGAAAAUCCGAGGCUCAACCUCGGACUUGCAGUGGGUACGGGCAGACUAGAGUGUGGUAGGGGAGACUGGAAUUCCUGGUGUAGCGGUGAAAUGCGCAGAUAUCAGGAGGAACACCGAUGGCGAAGGCAGGUCUCUGGGCCACUACUGACGCUGAGAAGCGAAAGCAUGGGGAGCGAACAGGAUUAGAUACCCUGGUAGUCCAUGCCGUAAACGUUGGGAACUAGGUGUGGGUCUCAUUCCACGAGAUCCGUGCCGCAGCUAACGCAUUAAGUUCCCCGCCUGGGGAGUACGGCCGCAAGGCUA
rnacentral:rRNA from 1 species